ACGUCAUAGAGCAGCCCGGCCGCUGCCUCUCCUGCGGGAGGCCCACUGCCCGUCUCUAUGGCGGGAACUCCAGCCCCUCCAUGCCUUGAUCAGACCACGAGGCUUUCCUCUGCAUCUUGACUGAGCUUGUCUCCUUCCAUCGUCCCGAGUGUCGCAGGGCAGGAGGACACUUGAGGGCUGAGUCCUGACUUCUAAGUGAACACAAGCCCUGGGAUGCGGAGAGCAGGACAGAUGCUGAGGCGUCAGGUGUGUGGGAGCCCUUCCUCUGGAACCUAGCUAAUAAUUUCUUAUUAGCAAGAACAAGUGAGGAAAACUGCGGUUCCACCGGAAACCUAUUGACUAUGAUAACUGAGGUCCGUCUUCCCUGCUCAGAGUGAGGCCUGAGACCACACCCGGUGCCUUCCCGCGUCAGCCCAGUCGCUAAGUCAUGUCAGACUGUGGCCUCAUGGACUGCAGCAAGCCAGCCUUCCCCGUCCUUCACGAUCUCCAGGAAUCUGCUAAAAUUCAUGUCCAUUGAGUUGUGUGAACCCUGCUAGUUCCUGCGGAAAGACAAGCGCUGCCUGAGAGAGUGAAUUCAGCAGCAGUGGUGCGGCACUCUCCAUUUGGCUGGGAGGAGCAGGCAAGGAUUCUGCAGCUGUGCUGAUGGGCAUCUCACGCCAGAGAAGAUUCAGUGCCGCUCUUCCAAUUUUUCCCUUCAAAAGAUCCUUAUUUGCUUUGAAGAGUAGGCACAUAUUUAAUCUAGUUGUGUUUAAAAGUCUGAGUUUCAGGCUCUCCCUGUCCUUCCUGCCAAUCUCUCCCUUUGGGGGGCUUAAUUUUGUUUUCUUUUUGACAAAUCAUGAGCAUUAAAAAAAGAUGGCUAUAUUACCAUUUACUAAAGAAUAGUUGGAAUGCUCAGAGCAUUCUGUGCUGGAGGGAACAGGAUUUGCAUUACAAUAUCAGCAAG
ensembl:lncRNA